UGGGGAAUAUUGGACAAUGGGGGGAACCCUGAUCCAGCCAUGCCGCGUGUGUGAAGAAGGCCUUUUGGUUGUAAAGCACUUUAAGCGAGGAGGAGGCUACUCUAGUUAAUACCUGGGGAUAGUGGACGUUACUCGCAGAAUAAGCACCGGCUAACUCUGUGCCAGCAGCCGCGGUAAUACAGAGGGUGCGAGCGUUAAUCGGAUUUACUGGGCGUAAAGCGUGCGUAGGCGGCUUUUUAAGUCGGAUGUGAAAUCCCUGAGCUUAACUUAGGAAUUGCAUUCGAUACUGGGAAGCUAGAGUAUGGGAGAGGAUGGUAGAAUUCCAGGUGUAGCGGUGAAAUGCGUAGAGAUCUGGAGGAAUACCGAUGGCGAAGGCAGCCAUCUGGCCUAAUACUGACGCUGAGGUACGAAAGCAUGGGGAGCAAACAGGAUUAGAUACCCUGGUAGUCCAUGCCGUAAACGAUGUCUACUAGCCGUUGGGGCCUUUGAGGCUUUAGUGGCGCAGCUAACGCGAUAAGUAGACCGCCUGGGGAGUACGGUCGCAAGACUA
rnacentral:rRNA from 1 species